ACAUUGAGACUAUUAUGUUGUGUGUGGCGCAACUGGAGAGUUCUACUCAUUUGUUAUUGCAUUCCAAAUUUACGAUCGGCGUUUAGUAUGCGGUGUUCAAAUGGUAUGCAGUGUUCAACUGGUUGGUGUUAUGUUAUGUGAUUGUUGCUGCUAUGUUGGUCUGGUUAUUUUUGAUUUUUUUUUGUCAGUACUGUUUUGUUGGUCUCUGUGUGAUGUGGAUAUAUAGAUUGUCCCUUUAAGGUUGCUUUUCCUGGAACUCUUAAGUGAGUUCUUUCUUGGGUUUUACUUUUUGUAUUUUGUUGUGCUAGAGAGACUGUUGUGUUGAGUUUUGCUGCUCUGGAUGUUUUUGCUUCUUGCCUAUGUUUUGUACCUUAGGGUAUUAGUUUCUCCUGAUAUGUGUGGAUUAGUGUUUUAAAGGCCUGUCUCUUGAUAAUUAGGUUUGUCUCCUGAGAAAACUCAUUAAUUUGACCCUUUGUGAUCUUU